rnacentral:rRNA from 1 species
GACAGAGGUCCCGAGCGUUAGGCGGAAUCACUGGGCUUAAAGCGUGUGUAGGCGGAUGCCUAAGUACCUUGUGAAAUCCCACGGCUUAACCGUGGAACUGCUCGGUAUACUGGGUGUCUUGAGCCACUUAGGGGCUACCGGAACAAAUGGUGGAGCGGUAAAAUGCGUAGAUAUCAUUUGGAACGCCAAUGGUGAAAACAGGUAGCUGGGAGUGUGCUGACGCUGAGACACGAAAGCCAGGGGAGCAAACGGG